rnacentral:rRNA from 1 species
AUUGAACGCUGGCGGCAUGCCUUACACAUGCAAGUCGAACGGCAGCACGGACUUCGGUCUGGUGGCGAGUGGCGAACGGGUGAGUAAUGUAUCGGAACGUGCCCAGUCGUGGGGGAUAACGUAGUGAAAAUUACGCUAAUACCGCAUACGAUCUAUGGAUGAAAGCGGGGGAUCGCAAGACCUCGCGCGAUUGGAGCGGUCGAUAUCAGAUUAGGUAGUUGGUGGGGUAAAGGCCCACCAAGCCAACGAUCUGUAGCUGGUCUGAGAGGACGACCAGCCACACUGGAACUGAGACACGGUCCAGACUCCUACGGGAGGCAGCAGUGGGGAAUUUUGGACAAUGGGCGAAAGCCUGAUCCAGUCAUUCCGCGUGCAGGAUGAAGGCCCUCGGGUUGUAAACUGCUUUUGUACAGAACGAAAAGGUUUCUACUAAUACUAGGAGCUCAUGACGGUACUGUAAGAAUAAGCACCGGCUAACUACGUGCCAGCCGCCGCCGUAA